AAACCGUUCAGGGGUAAACCUGAGAAACCCAAAAGAUCGAAUAGGGAGAUUCAUCGUCAGCGGCGCUGGCUUCGCGGUGGUUCGUGAUGUUAGGGACCUCGGUCUCUCGACACGCGGCCGCUGCGUACGUCCGGUGUCGUCGUCGUGCACUUCUCCCUUAGUAGGACGUCGCGACCCGUCGGGUGUCGGUCUACGGCCCAGGUGGAUGCCUAUUCCGUCGCUUCGGCGCGCGGAGUAGACCCCUGGUCGCCCGGCCGGCUGCCCGGCGGUACUCGCACGGUAUCGGGCCGCACGAUUCGAACUGCGUCGGGCCCGCCGCAAGCGCGGCCAGUGUCCCCGGGAUUUACGGACUCUAGUGCCGUGCCCGAGCCUGGCCAGCUGUUGGCUGGCGGUGUCCUCUGACUGGCCAAAAUAAAGAUACCGGUCGGCGACGCUACUGCUUUGGGUACUUUCAGGA
rnacentral:rRNA from 1 species